UACGUAGGUGGCAAGCGUUGUCCGGAUUUACUGGGCGUAAAGAGCGCGCAGGCGGUCGGAUAAGUCGAAUGUGAAAGCCCCCGGCUCAACUGGGGAGGGUCAUUCGAUACUGUUCGACUCGAAGGCAGGAGAGGGAAGUGGAAUUCCCGGUGUAGUGGUGAAAUGCGUAGAGAUGCGGAGGAACACCGAUGGCGAAGGCAGCCCCCUGGGCCAAUACUGACGCUCAGGCACGAAAGCGUGGGGAGCAAACAGG
rnacentral:rRNA from 1 species